AUGACUCUCAUCACCAUCCUCAUCUGGACGCUGGCCUGCUGCUGUUUUACAGGAUGCAGCGGUCAGGUGACUGUGACUCAGCCUGCAGUAAAGACAUCUGCUCCAGGAUCCGCUGUCACUAUCAGCUGUAAGACCAUCCAGGAUGUAGGAGAUUGGUGUGGUGAUGAUGGUGAUGAGACUUGUUUGUCCUGGUAUCAGCAGAAAUCUGGACAGUCUCCAAAGCUUCUAAUAAAAUUAGUGAGCACACGUGAAUCAGGAACAGCAGCUCGGUUUAGUGGCAGUGGAAGCAGCUCUGACUUCACUUUGACCAUCAGUGGAGUUCAGACUGAAGAUGCAGCAGUUUAUUACUGUAAGAGUUUCCAUGUAAUAAACGGUGCCUAUGUGUUCACACAGUGA